AGUCAGCCCUGCGGUGCGGUGGGCAUUGCCAGAGCAGGGCGCCCCCUGCAGGGACGCACCCGGGGCGGGGGCCAGGCUGGGGCGAGCCCCCCUUGGUUCUGGAGAGGAAAUGACAUACAGUUUGUGAAAGCAUAAAUAUUCGUGAAAAUAAGAAAAUUCAGGAAGGAAACAAAGCUUAAGGCAGUGAUUGAUAGGUUAUUUCUUGGACACAGCUGAACGUAUACUGUGCGCCUGCAACUUUCCGGUGGUUUCGGACCGGACUUCAGUGAAGCCAGUGAAGUCGGUCGACUUGCAGAACUUCCUUUCAGAGGGGCGUACACAGCACCGCGGCCGUGUGCCUGUGAUCUCCUUCUGAGUUUGAAAAAGAAGAUCCUAGACACCGAGCCAAAUAUGUUUGCAUAAACCGGGAGACUUGUGGCUCUAUUUUGUAACAGCUUGGCGCAGGGCAGCUGGUUUGGAGAUGUCUCUGUUCUUCCCUUGGUGGGGGUGCCGGAAAAAAUGUGCUGCCUGGGCGAUCGAGGUUGGGGCAAAAGCGUUGCAAAGGAAAAGGUGGGAGGACUCUACUUUCACAUUUCCCAAAAGAGUUUUACCAUAAGACUAUUUCUGGAUUGUUCUAACGUGAGGAUAUUGGGAGCAUUUUGAAAAUACUGGAGGAAAAGCUGUCACUGGGCGAUUUAAAUCCGGAAGCUGGAAAGUCCAAGAUCAGGGAGUCAGCAUCUGGUGAAGGCCUUCUUGCUGUGUCAUCCCAUGGUGGAACAUGGAAGGGUAAGAGAGCACACGCAAGAGACAGCAAGAGCCAAAGGGGGCCACACUCAUUUUUCCAUUAGGAGCUCACUCCCAACUCCACGAUAAUGAACCCACUCCCACAAUCAUAGCAUUAAUCCAUUCAUGUGGGUGAAGCCCUCAUGACCUAUUCACCUCUCAAAGGUCCCACCUCUUAACACUGUUUCACUGGGGAUUAAGUUUCCAACAUAUGAACUUUGGAGAACAUAUUUAAGCCAUAGUAUCCCUCCAGACCCUCCUCUCCACCCUCCUCUGCCAUGCUUGGUGUCCUGAAAUGCUGACCUUUAUGAAUUGCAUCAUCCAGUCUACUUUGCCCUAGCUUCUGGUCAGGUUCAGCCAACGAAAGGCACUGGAGGCAGGGGCUAGAGGAGAAUGAGAUCAGAGUAUUUAUAUCCUGCUCUCUCCCUGCAAUGAAUUGGUAUUCCCAUAACAAAUUGGUAUUCCCAUAACAAAGGCUGCAACUCUUAUCAAGUGGCCGAUAUUCUAAACACACCUGCCCUUGCCCCCCUCAGAUCCAGGAGAGGUAAAGGCUUCCUGCUGUUGCUAGCUCUGUCAUGCUUCACCACCCCUUAACCUUGCCCACAUCCCUGCAAGCGGUCCUUCACUACAUGCUCCUGAGACACCCAGUUUGAGAUGCUGUUUACUUCCUGAUGGAACCUUGACCACACAGACAUCAUUGCUAUUUCCAUCCUAGCACACGUCCUCAGGCCACUGCACCUCCCCCAGGCAUCAUCAAUAAUUCUUCAUGUCCUCUUGAAGCACAUGUGACAUGGCAUUCCUGCUGCACAGCCACCUGUGGCAACAAGGAAGGGAGCAGCUCUCCCUGCUCAGCAUCACUCUGUUAGAGGAUUCUAAGGGGAUGAACUGCUUGUGCUCCAAUGUCUUCUAGGGUUUUUAGUGAAAUGGCUCCUUCUGUUUUACCUUCAUGAGGCUGGAGGAGGAGUCCUGAGUGGGGAGGUGCUGAGUUGGAAGGAGCCAAGAGCCAUGCUCUAGCAGAGAGGGCACUGCCUUGGGUACAGGUGCUGGGCCUGGGAGCUGACUCUGCCACUAAAAGGCCAUGAGACCAUGGACAAGUCACUCUCAUUUUCAGGCCUCCAUUUCCUCACCUGUAUCACGGGGGCCGGACUCAGCGAUUCUCAAGCUGCUCUGGGCCCCCAGCCUUACUUCUGCCAUAGCAGCUCCUGUUUGGUCUAUUUUAGAAUGUGAGCUUUUGUGAAAAUUUCCUUUAAGGAAUGGGUUCCACUGCUUUAAAAACACUUGGAAACAACUGGACUAGAAGAUCUAAGGUCCCUUCCAGCCCCUACAUUUUUGAGCAUAAAACCAAUCUUGUUUUUUUCACCAUUGUGCCAAGGAAGCACUGGUUCCAAGAAUUAAUGGAAAAUAGAUGAUUAAAGGCCCAUCUCCUGCCAGGCUCGCUGCCAUGGCAAAUCUACCAUGACUGGGUAAAAGGUUUUGCUUCACAUCCAUCCUCAGCACCUUCUCACUUCCUUCUCACUUGCUUCUGCCACUAUUCCUAAGCAAGCUAAAGAAAGGGAAAUUUUAAAUCCAUUGCAUAAAAUGCAAACCAGCCUAGUAAACAAAAAUGUGGAAAAGAUGGCAAGGGAUAAAUCAUGUGCCUUUUCAGCCUUUAUAAACAGACCUUGGGAGCUUUACAAAGGCUUGACUUAUGGCAAUGGAAGCUGGCAGCCCUCCGUAGUUCAUUCCAGAUGUUUGGUGCUAGAGAGAAUUACAGGGCAGUGGUUAAUAGUUUGGGCUCUGCGGUCAGAAAGAUAUGAGUUCAAUUCCUUGUGCUUCCAUUCACUAACUGGGUGAUCUUGGUUAGAUGUGCUGGACUGUAAAAUCAUCAUCAUCACCAUAUCUAUUUUAUUGAGUUAUCAUGAGGACUGGGAGUGAGUUAAUACAUGUACAAUGUUUAGCACAGUGCCUAGCACAUAGAAAAUACCCAAUAAAUUAGCUCUUUGAUGUUAUUGUUGUUAGAAUUACUACUCCCAUUGGCUUCCAGGAAGCUCAGAGAUCAGAGCUCAGUUGAAUAUUCAACUAAAAAAAUCCUCCGGCUGGGCAUGGUGGUUCAUGCCUGUAAUCCCAGCAUUUUGGGAGGCCAAGGCAGGCAGAUCACCUGAGGUUGGGAGAUUGAGACCAUCCUAGCUAACACGGUGAAACCCUGUCUCUACUAAAAAUACAAAAAAUUAGCUGGGUGUGGUGGCACAUGCCUACAAUCCCAGCUACUUGGGAGGCUGAGGCAGGAGAAUUGGUUAAACCCAGGAGGCGGAGGUUGCGGUAAGCUGAGAUCGCGCCACUGCACUCCAGCCUGGGCAACAAGAGUGAAACUCCAUCUCAAAUAAAUCAAUAAUAAAAAAAAAAAACUUCUAGGUACCAUUUGCUUCCUUUCCAUGUCCAUUUAUGGCAUCUUUUAAGAUAGUUGUUAUUUAUCGAGUGCUUAUUUUUGCCAGGACUUACAGGCACUACCCUACACCUAGCACAGUGCUUAGGGUAUUGGAAAUAACUCAAUAAAUUGUGGCAGAAUAAAUGAAUGAUCUUAUCCAAUGCUCCCAGCAACUCUAAGAAGUAGAUAUCAUUAUCUCAAUUAUAGUAGACUUUUUUUGUUAUUAUUGUUGACAUCUGAGACUACUUCCUGAUUGUGGGGAAUCUGCCCUUGUGUGAGGGUCUCAUCUUGGAUGCUGAGAAAGUGAAAAACUCCCCUGGACCUCUGGUAGCAGGAACACAGAUAUACAAACCAAGUACAGCUAAUCAGAUCCUCACCUGGGACUUUUUUUAAAUUUUAGUUUUUAUUUAUUUAUUUAUUUUGAGACGGAAUCUCGCUCUGUCACCCAGGCUGGAGUGCAGUGGUGCGAUCUCGGCUCACUGCAAGCUCUGCCUCCUGGGUUCACGCCAUUCUCCCGCCUCAGCCUCCUGAGUAACUGGGACUACAGGUGGCCGCCACCACCCCCGGCUAAUUUUUUGUAUUUUUAGUAAGACAGGGUUUCACCGUGUUAGCCAGGUUGGUCUCAAUCUCCUGACCUCAUUAUCUGCCCACCUCAGCCUCCCAAAGUGCUGGUAUUACAGGCUUGAGCCACCACGCCCGGCCACCUGGGACUUUGAAAUCUAGACUGGGCUGGGCAUGGUGGCUCACAUGUUUAAUUUCAGUACUUUGGGAGGCCGAGGUGGGUGGAUCAUUUGAGGUCAGGAGUUCGAGACCAGCCUGGCCAAUGUGGUGAAACCCUGUCUUUACUAAAAAUACAAAAAAAUUAGCUGGGUGUGGUGACGCGUGCCUGUAAUAUCAGCUACUCAGGAGGCUGAGACAGGAGAAUCGCUUGAACCCAGGAGGCGGAGGUUGCAGUGAGCCAAGAUCACACCAUUACACUCCAGCCUGGGCAACAAAAGUGAAACUCCAUCUUCAGAUGGAUAAAUAAAUAAAUAAAUAAAUAAAUAAAUCUAGACUGAACAAAGUAAUUGGAAUUCCUUCUGCGGUUGAUGGCAAAGCAUUGGUGGCACUGGGGCCAGUAGAGUAGUGUCCCAGGCCAAGUAGUGACCACAAUACCAGCAAAGGGCCCAGUGUUCAUCUACCUACAAUCCAUUUUGGAAGGAGGUAAGGUCUUGUAAAUAACAUCAUAUGGCAUUAAUUUGGCAAGAGUUUCUACAUCUUGCCAGCCCAUUACUUUACCAACAUUCCUUUUCCUUCUGUAGUUUGUGAGUUCCCUUGAAACUUAAUCAACCUCAAACUCUCUCAAGUGACUCCCCUCUCAGGAUGUUUGGCUUCCAUCCCCUCAGCAGCCCUUGUUGCCUCUAAGAAGAUAAAGCAAAACUUGUGCUGCAUCUCUUCCUCCCAUUCUUUUCCUACCCAUUUUAUGCACAAACCAUGCCAAUGCCAGGCAGUUGGCUGUCUUCUGUUGAAAACAAAAACCUUAGAGUGAGUCUUGUUGCCACAUAUGUGUGUGCUUGGGUUGAGGGCUGAUUCAUAAAUCUUCCUUAAGAAAAAAAGGCCUCUGGGCAAGCUGGCAAAGGCUGGCUUUCAUUUAUUUGUUUUUUGUCACCUCCUUGAUAUCUCCUGCCUUGCUCCAGAAAUGUGUUAGACCUCAUGGGGAACACUGACAAACGCACAUACAAAAUAAGGAAAAGAAUGAUGAAUUUCAAAUUAGGAUACCCGGGUUGGAAUGCUGGCUUGGUCACUAUCUGCAAAAACUUGGAAUGCUUGUCAAAUAGAGCACGCAGGGACCCUGAGCAACCAGGACUGUUGGCAUGACAAGCGGGCGAGCAGAGGAUGGGGGAGCCAGAAGAGAAGGUGCUGAAAGGAAGAGCUGAAAACAAGCUUGACCCAUCACUCAAAGUUGUCUAAUAGUCCUUGAAUCCAGAUGCCUCAUGGCCCUAGGAGGGCCAAACACACUCGGGGGUUGGAAAGGAAGCAUCACAGUGCUGGUGUCAGGAUACCUGAGUUCCAGCCUUGUCUUUGACAUUUAUGAGGUGUAUAAACUGGGAGGGUCACUUCAGCUCUCUGAGCCUUAGUUUUGUGUACUGUAAAGUGGGAGAAAUAAUACAUCCCUCACAAAGGCAUAAAUAGGCCAGGUGCGGUGGCUCACGCCUGUAAUCCCAGCACUUUGGGAGGCCAAAGCGGGUGGAUAACCUGAGGUCAGGAGCUCGAGACCAGCCUGGCCAACAUGGUGAAACCCCAUCUCUACUAAAAAUACAAAACCCCCAUCUCUACUAAAAAUACAAAAAUUAUCCAAGUGUGGUGACAGGCACCUGUAAUCCCAGCUACUUGGGAGGCUGACUACUCAGGAGAAUUGCUUGAACCUGGGAGGCGGAGGUUGCAGUGAGCCGAGAUCAUGCCACUGUACUCCAGCCUGGGUGACAGAGUAAGACUCCAUCUCAAAACAAACAAACAAACAAAAACAAGACAAAGGCAUAAACAAUAAACAAGAGAUUGAUUUUUUUGGUAACAGCUUUAUUGCAAUAUAAUUCAAGUACCAUAAAAUUCACCACCCCCGCUUUUUUUCGAAACAGGGUCUCACUCUGCUGUCACCCAGGCUGGAGUGCAGUGGCAUGAUCACUGCUCACUUCAGCCUCGACCUCCUAGGUUCAAGCGAUCCGCCCACCUUUGUCUCCCAAGUAGCUAGGACUAUAGGUGCACACCACCACACCCAGCUAAUUAUAAAAUUUUGUUGUGGAGACGGGCUCUCAUCACGUUGCCCACGCUGAUCACGAACCCCUGAGCUCAAACAAUCUUCCUGCCUCGGCCUUCCAAAGUGCUGGGAUUAUAGACAUGAGCCACCACACUGGGCCAAAAUUCACCCUUUUAAAGUAUGCAGUUCUGUUUUUUAGUGUAUUCACAGAGUUGUGCAACCAUCACCACUAUUUCAUAGUAGAACAUUUUUAUAACUCCUAAUGGAACCAAUACUGUUAUCAAUCACUCUCUAUCCUCCCUCCUGAGAGAUCGACUUUAAACUAUUUGGUGCUGUACCCAUUUUGCUUUGUAUAGAUAACAGUUGAUCAUUGCUACACAAUAGUCAGUAGUCUGCUCAUAAGUAAUAUCACAAUUAUUCUUCAGACUUAGUAAGAGCUGGCUUGAGAACUGUGUCAGGAGUAAGUUCGGCAGGGGAAUGGUAGAGAUGAAGAGGCUUAAAGAACAGUUUGUUUCUCUCUCAUAGAAUAAUCCAGGUAGCUCCAGGUAGCUCACAGCUCCAUCUUCCCUAGGGCACGAGCAACUUUCUCAGGAUACAAAAUGUCAGCUAGAGCUCCAGCUGUUAUAUCCUUGUUCCAGACAGCAGGAUGAAGACAGAGAUGAAGAUUGCAUGCCAUUGGCUUUUAAGGAAAGGUCUCAGAAGUUGCCACAAACACUUCUACUAACUUUUUUUUUUUUUGAGAUGGGGUCUUACCCUGUCACCUAGGCUGGAGUGCAGUGGCACGAUCUUGGCUCACUGUAACCUUCGCCUCCUGGGGUCAAGCAAUUCUCCUGCCUCAACCUCCCGAGUGUCUGGGAUUAUAGGCGCCCGCCACUACACCUGGCUAACUUUUUUUGUAUUUUUAGUACAGAUGGGGUUUCACCACGUUGGCCAGGCUGGUUUCAAACUCCUGACCUCAAAUGAUCCGCCUGCCUAAGCUUCCCAAAGUGUUAGGAUUACAGGCGUGAGCCACCAUGCCCAACCACUUCUACUAACAUCUAAUUGACCAGAACUCACUAGUAUGAUCAUAUCUAGCUGUAAGAAAGGCUGGGAAAUUUAGCCUUAUUCCAAAGAGCCAGUUAAAAAUUGGGGUUUGCAUUAUUAUGAAAGAAAAGACCAGGUAUUUGGUAGAUGUAUCAGUCAGCAAAUGCUAUAAUAAUUCUGCAUAACAAACCAUGAGCAUACAACAAUGAGCUUUUGUUUUCCUUGCCCUCAGGGCUGUGGGUUGGCUGGGAGGCUCUGCAUCAGGCUACAGGGCUGCCGGGCUUGGUGGAGGUAUACUGCACUCACACUAAUGGAGGGCACUGCAAAAUCACAUAACAAAGGGUAUGAGUGUAAAAUUCUAACACCAGAAGCGUCUGCAGAAUGAUAAACAAUGAUUCAUUUAUACAGAGGACAACCAAGAUUGCCAGGAAAUUCAAUGUCUGCAGUCUUGGUCCCCGGAGACCUCCCAGGAACCUGCUGCUGCUGCUGUCCUACAAUUCAGCUCCCAGUGUAGCUUCCAGUUCUGAUGAUCCCACUUCCCCGGUUACAGAUUAAGCUAGUCCAGCCUCUCACAUGAGCUUUUUAGGCCACAGUCCCUAGUUUCAGCCUAACCAGACACCUGCAGCCUUUUCUCUAAGGUUUUGCCAAGACAAACAGAGUAGUUCAGGAUGCCUCUAAGGGAGAAGGAAAGUGGGAAAAAUCAUUUGGGAAAAAUUCAGAGUGCAGAAGCAGCCUGCCUGAAAAGUUGCUGGAACAGACAAAAAUAAAACAACCUGGGGAAAAUAAAACAAAACAAAACUCAGGCUGGACCUGGACAGAUAAACAAACAGGAUCCCGCACAGGAGUUCUUUAUUCUUUGUCUAAUUAGCAAGCUCCCAGGAAAAAAUUUUCUCCCUUUUUCAGUCAGAUACAUGGUGAGAACUUGCACACGGAGGAGGGGGGAUUACCUAAAACAAACUCACAGUAUACAAACAAGAGAAGCUGUGCUUUGUGCUUACCUAAAAACAUACCCACAGCUGCAUGAGAUAAGGGGCGUCGCACAGACAGCCUUACUGAUAAGAGAAGUUACUCAAACUGCUACAGAGAUGAGAGGGGUUUCUCAGCUGUAACCUGGCAAUCCACUCUGACUCCUCUCUCUGCUGCAGAGAGCUUUAUUUCUUUCACUUAUUAAACUUUCCCUCCAACACCAUGUUUGUGUCUGCGUUCCUAAUUUUCUUGGACAUAGGACAAAGGACCUGGGGUACCAGUUAAGACAAAGAGAAACUGCUACAUUAAGGUGGGUUGGUGAGACUGCAACACCUCUAUGUAGGGCCAGAAGCCAUUUUCCUCUGCCCCACUUCCCCGGGGGCCAGCCAGAGUCAGACCCAUUUUUCCCGUUCAAAUUCCCCAAACACAAAAGCUUCAUCAUGCCAUUUUCUAUUACAAUUGGGCUUGAAGGUACAUCUACAAGAGAGUGAAAGCCCAGGCAACUUGUCCCUUGAGUUACAAAGAAUUCCGUUUAUCUUUCCUGGGGUAAGACUAAGUCUACAGCAGUAAAAAUUCAGCACUCAGAUUGGUUUUCAAAGGCUGACCUUUCCAUUAUUUACAUUCUUAAUGAAUCAUCCUGCUUAAUUGUAAUCAGUGGAGCUUAAGGCAAAUUUCCAAAAGGUUUGGUCAAACUUUUGGUGUAAAUAAUCUCAGUGUAUCUAUUUCAACUUUACUUAGUCCGCUUCCAUUAGUAACAUGAAGAAGCAUUUUCUUGGGUACAACCCAAAGUUAGCACCAAUUAUGAAAUCUAUUGGUUAGUUCAGCAAAUUAAACAGUUACUUUUGUUGUUGUUUUUUGAGACAGGGUUUUGUUCUGUAGCCCAGGCUAGAGAGCAGUGGUGCCAUCUCAGCUCACUGCAACCUCUGCCUCCUGAGCUCAAGUGAUCUUCCCACCUCAGCCUUCCUAGUAGCAGGGACCAUAGGCACCUGCCACCAUGCCCCGCUAAUUUUUUUUUUUAUUUAUUUUUUGUAGAGAUGGGGUUUCUCCAUGUUGCCCAGGCUGGUCUCAAACUCCUGGCCUCAAGUGAUUCACCCGCUUCAGCCUCCUAAAGUGUUGGGAUUACAAGCAUAAGCCACUGCACCCAGCCAAAAUGGUUACUUUCAGUAACAGCUGUG
rnacentral:lncRNA from 1 species